GACAGCUUUUUUUUAUUUGUUUUUACUAGAACAUGGGCCCAACUAAAAAAAAAGGUUAAAAGAAAACAUAAUAGAAACCCUAGUUCCCAAACUAAACUAAACCCUAAAUUAACAACUAGUGAGAGGCGGCCGCAACAGAUGAAGGCAUGGCUGGAAAAAGAAGAAAGGAAAAAAAAAUGGAGUCUUGCAAGAAGCAAACCCAUGAAUCGCAUAUGAAGGUGCCUUGGUGAUGCUUUGUCUGAUGGCAUAGAUAUGAGAAGCGUGUCCUCCUCCCUGCACUCUUAUUCUCAUAUCGACGCCGGCGAAACGGUGCCUUCCGAGAAAGAGGAUUGGCUCGUAUGCCUUGAAACGGAGAAUCUCAGGCUCGAUGAGUUCGAUUGAGCAGACAUUGAUCUUAAUGAGACCACGACCUCUCUUGUAGUGUGUCACUGCCACCACAUUCUUCUUAUGACCGAAACACUGCACCUAUUCUAUUUUGGACUCUCAUUCCUCCGCCGCAAACAAAUGCCGACACAAGAAAAUGUCGAAAUAGGUAACAGAUGUAUCAAUAAGCAUGGCUUGUGCACCAAUGGCAGUCAUCAUCAACAUAGCAGGGUUUGGCAGUGAACAAAGUCAACAUAGCAUGGCUUGAUUUGAUUUAAUUUUUAUUGUAAUUUAUUUUUGCCUUUAUUCUUAGUUUGUAAUUUGAUUUGGUUUUAACAUUCUAAUUAGAUUUGAAAUUGUAAAUUUAUGAUACAUAAUGAAAUUAUUUAUUGUAAA